GAUGAACGCUGGCGGCGUGCUUAACACAUGCAAGUCGAGCGAAAAGCCCUGAGUUUCCUUCUUCUACGGUAGCCGGCGAGGGGGUAAUUACCACGUGAUAAGCGACCUAUUAGCCCUGGAAUACCUUAGGAAACCGGGAACAAGGCCCGAAUACUUAAUUGAACCGCAGGGUGCAUCGUGUAAGGGCGUUUUUCUUUCAACUUUUUGGGGAUCCGCGCCGGAUGAGCCAGCUGGUUAGGUAACGGCUUACCAAGGCAACGGUGGGGAGCCGACCUGAGAGGGUGAUCGGCCACACUGGAACUGAGACACGGUCCAGACUCCUACGGGAGGCAGCAGUAGGGAAUCUGCCGCAAUGGGCGAAAGCCUGACGGAGCAACGCCGCGUGAGUGAUGAAGGUCUUCGGAUCGUAAAACUCUGUUAUUAGGGAAGAACAAAUGUGUAAGUAACUAUGCACGUCUUGACGGUACCUAAUCAGAAAGCCACGGCUAACUACGUG
rnacentral:rRNA from 1 species